UAAGACGAACCGUCCUAACGUUAUUCGGAAUCACUGGGCUUAAAGGGCGCGUAGGCGGAUGAGCAAGUCCGGAGUGAAAUCUUUCGGCUUAACCGGAAAAGUGCUUUGGAUACUGCUCGUCUUGAGGGAGGUAGGGGCAUGUGGAACUUCUGGUGGAGCGGUGAAAUGCGUUGAUAUCAGAAGGAACGCCGGUGGCGAAAGCGACGUGCUGGCCCUCUUCUGACGCUGAGGCGCGAAAGCUAGGGGAGCAAACGGGAUUAGAUACCCCGGUAGUCCUAGCCCUAAACGAUGGGUACUAGGUUGUGGACUUAACAUGGGUUCACAGCCGAAGCAAAAGUGUUAAGUACCCCGCCUGGGGAGUAUGGUCGCAAGGCUG
rnacentral:rRNA from 1 species